UGGAGGUUCAUCCGUCGGAGGAGUCUUGAGGACACUAUGGAAGGUCGAACAUUGGAGGAGUCUGGGAUUCAAUUCUGUUGUAGAAGUUCGAACGGAGUUUGACUCUUGUAGGAGUCUGAAAGGAGGCCGCUUAUUGUAGAAGCUCAGACGAAGAUCGGUUACCGUGAAAGCUCGGAUGGAGACUUCUUAUUGUAGAAGCUCGGAUGAAAUUCAGAAGGUGGUCGACCACCGUAGAAGCUUGGAUGGAGUCUGGUUACUGUAGAAGUCCCGUUACUGGAGAAGCUCGGUCAUUGACAAAGUUCGGAAGAAGUUCGGGGUAGAGAUCUGACUGGUGGAGCCCAUCCGUUGUAGAAGUUUGUCUGGGAUCUAUCCACUGUAGAAGUUCGAACGGAGUCUGGCUCUUGUAGGAGCUCGGAUGAAAUUUGCUUGUAAUAGAAGUUCAGAGUAGAGUCGAUCGUGGCUGGAAAAAGUCUGGAAGAGAUUCAGAGAAUGGUCGAUCACUGUAGAAAAUCAGCUGAUAGUAAAGCUUAGAGAGCGUUUGGAGCAGUCCGGUAGAUGAAUAGAGGAGCUCAUUAUUGGAGAAGUCUGGAUGGUAUUAUGGAAGCUCGGACAGUCGGGGG
rnacentral:lncRNA from 1 species